AUCAUAUUCAAAUUUUUUACAUGCAAACAAGAAAAAAUAUGGUUCAAAUUCUAAAGUUUGUUUAUGCUAUGAUUCUAUUCAUUUCCAUAGUAUUUCUCAUCAGAACACAACUGAGUGACAAAACCUGUUCUCGUUCACUUGUCUUUAAUGAUUCGACUUCCAAACAUCGAAUUAGAGAUUGAAAUUUGGCAGAGGAUACAUCAUUGCAGUUAAUCACAUGACUAGAUUUUGGGAUCAAUGAACUUUCUCGUCUCCGUCAAAAAGGAAGAUAUGUUGAUGGAAGAACAAAAUAAUUUUUCAACAUUAGCACUCGAAUUGCAUGUCUACAUAGUAUUCCUGAAAAUUGAAACUCUUUACAAGAACAAUGAAUUGACUCUUCUUCUGUUAUCAAACUUACUAUACGACCACCAUCAACUUUGGUAUGAUGUUGCACAACAUAAGAGCCAUUGUCAGCUUCAAUUGCUUCAUACUUUGCGGAUAAUUCGAUCUCAUAUUGAAGCAACUUAAAGGCAUAAGGUGUGAGUAUAGACGAGGCAUGUUCUUCAAUAGGAAAAUGUGUUGUAAUAUGAGGAUUAUGAUACUUUUGACGCAUUCGUGCCUAUUCUCCAGCUUGAUUUCUAAUUUUGACAGCAACACCAACCUACACAAAAAUAUAACAAUUUAUCGAUUCUGAG